GAUGAACGCUAGCUACAGGCUUAACACAUGCAAGUCGAGGGGUAACGAGAGGAAAGCUUGCUUUCCUUGUCGACGACCGGCGCACGGGGGAGUAACGCGUAUCCAACCUGCCCCCAACUAAGGAAUAACCUUGCGAAAGUAAGACUAAUACCUUAUAAUUUCCUCAGAUGACAUCUGACGAGGAAUAAAGAUUUAUCGGUUGUGGAUGGGGAUGCGUCUGAUUAGCUUGUUGGCGGGGUAACGGCCCACCAAGGCAACGAUCAGUAGGGGUUCUGAGAGGAAGGUCCCCCACAUUGGAACUGAGACACGGUCCAAACUCCUACGGGAGGCAGCAGUGAGGAAUAUUGGUCAAUGGGCGGAAGCCUGAACCAGCCAAGUAGCGUGCAGGAUGACGGCCCUAUGGGUUGUAAACUGCUUUUAUACAGGAAUAAAGUUAGCCACGUGUGGUUAUUUGUAGGUACUGUAUGAAUAAGGACCGGCUAAUUCCGUGCCAGCCGCCGCGGUAA
rnacentral:rRNA from 1 species